rnacentral:tRNA from 1 species
GCACUCUUAGCUCAGAUGGCUAGAGCACCAACCUUCUAAGUUGAGGGUCGCAGGUUCAACUCCUGCAGAGUGCG